rnacentral:lncRNA from 1 species
CCGCCGCCGCUCGCCCCCGCCUCCCCUGCCGCACCAGGGCUCGUCCAGAGAAAAGAGCGGCAAAGUGUGAGGGAGAGAUGAAAGAAGGGAAGACAUAGAAGGUGAAGUGGCGCAAGUUGAGGGAUGGAUCUUGCGGCUGGUGCGAGUGCUUGCUGCUGUGGUGGUGAUGUCCUUCUAGAGAAAGAGAGGAGAAGGAAAAGGGACGCAAGAUGAGGGAGACGUUCGCCGGCGGUGGCGCCUCCGGUGACCGNNNN